GACGAAGGUGGCUAGCGUUGUUCGGAAUUACUGGGCGUAAAGCGCGUGUAGGCGGUUGCCCAAGUCGGGUGUGAAAGCCUUGAGCUCAACUCAAGAAAUGCACUCGGUACUGGGUGACUAGAGGACCGGAGAGGAUAGUGGAAUUCCCAGUGUAGUGGUGAAAUACGUAGAGAUUGGGAAGAACACCAGUGGCGAAGGCGGCUAUCUGGACGGUUUCUGACGCUAAGACGCGAAAGCGUGGGUAGCAAACAGG
rnacentral:rRNA from 1 species